rnacentral:snoRNA from 2 species
AGCUAAAUGAUGAAGUAAUUUUUUGUCUGAAAUUGAUGUAGAUCUCAUGUUUCAUACAUACCUUCAAAGUUCUCUGAUUGCU